UUAUUUGAUUUUCCUUUUAAAAUACAAAAAUUAAAAUUGAAAUACAAGGCAUUUUUCAUUUUCAUGACCAAAAAGGGAUAUACGAAAUUUUAAAAAUGCUUUGAUUUUCAUUUUAUAUUUAGAUUAACAAAAAAGUAAAAUCAGUAAGAGACAGAAACGAAAAAAGGUCAGUUUUUUCAUUUUCUGAGACCGGAAGUGGUCAUCAGCAAGUGUGGAGCCAAACAGAGUACGGUGCAUAGACUGGAUUUUUUUUUUUUUUCGUUAGUUUUCAUGGUCAAAAUUAGAGAUCAGGUGGCCGAUCUUAAAAUAAAUCAAUAUUGAUUUUUUUAUAGAGCGUUAAAGUUUUGCGAAGCCAGGGGGCGGGGCUACUUGAUUGACAGUCUGGUCUGGAAUGGUUGACAGGUCCGACGGAGGAGGCAGCAGAGACUCUGCUCUCCUCGUUUGUAUUAAUUCUGAUAUAAUAACUGUUGGUUUAUUUAUCGGUGCAGCAGCAGAACAUUUUCCACAGACAGUUUUCCUGCCCGUUGGCUUGUUUUAACCAGUUUUCUGCCUCCAGUUGAUUCUACCAGCAGACACUGAAAGGACUCUGAUAGUUCGGUGUCUCAUGUUCACUGUGAGGAUCUUCUGAGUGAAGCGACCAGCAGAAAAAACCUCAUCUGGAUGUGAAGGAGACUGAAUGGACGACAUCCUCAGUGAACCACUUCCUGUUUAGCUUUCACUUACAGAAGAGUGAAAGUAGCAGUUCCUCCUGAAGGUCAGAGAUUGCAGCAUCUGAGGGCCUCUUCAAAAGAAGACGUAGUUGAUGAAGGCGUUCUGGAGCAGGACCAGAAAGACCACGACCAAGCAGCCUUGAGAUCUUAGACAGCGUCUCCCUGAGUUCUUCUGGACCAGCUCAGCUUCCCCUCAGAAGAAGUGGCGCCACCUGCCAGAUGAAGGAGCCUUUUGAGAGGCAGCUGGCAUCGUGAUUGGACUGUACUUUGGUCUGUUCCAAUCCAGCUUCAGCUCCAGAGACGGCAGGCGGGACGAGUCAACGGAGGCCUGGUGGACGAAGACCAAAGAACUACAGACUCUUCACAACCUGCUCAAACUCUUGGUACAGGACCUCACCACACGGGUCAAGAAGGUUUCCUUCUCAUUUCUACUCUGAAGCUCACCUUCUCCUGCUCAAACUGCUGACAAAUGUUUCUGCUGCUCUAAAGUCUGGUCUCCAGAACUUCCUAAAAACUCUCAAAGUCUCUUCUGCUGCAGGUUGCUUUGUAGAACUGUUGCAGAAAACCUCACUAAACCACAUGGAGGGGCCUCAAGAUAGUCGUCCAAAUGAAACCAUACAAAAACCAAACUAGCACAACCCAAACGCUAAAGUCUCCUGCAGCCUACCAGAGAACCUCUGAAAACAGAGAAUCAGGACAGGAACUCUUACCUUCUGGACAACCAACGUUGGUUCUCAAACAAGAAUACAGAAUGUGUCUGACCAAAAACCUCUGAAGACUCACUACAGCCAAGAUAAAGACACAGCUGCACCAAAUCCACUAAUCACUGCACACAUUAGAACCAUGUGCUAACUGUGGCUAAAGAACCACAUUUACCAAGACAACUAUCCAGUACAAAGCCCUAAAACACACCAAGAAACACAUUAAAGAUGAUUUUACUGCUGGAAGCUGCAAGCCAACGCCUAAAAAACAAACUAAAGAAACGGAGCCAAACCCGGUUCACUGGUGAACAGAAGCAGAGGAAAUGUUUGGCUGCAGCUAAAUAAAGCAGGAAGACACUGAGCUGCUCAGGUGUUCCUGAUAACACCAAGCAGCCACCUGGACAGCCAAUAGGAACACAGCUUCCUGGAAGUCCAGAGGGCUGGCUUAGUCAAAGAAAUUUAGUUUAAAGUUGAAGCAGAAAGUUAACAAAGAAAGUUGAAAACCACCUUCUGAUCCCUGGAGCAGUGAUAUACUGCAGGAUACACCAUAUGCUCUACUUUGAUGGACUGCAUGACAAAUUCUCCCAUAAAUUCUAUGCUGGCAAGAUUAAUCUGACAUUUUGAGACAUAAUAGUAUUCAGUUUCUGUCUGUAUGGAAACUGCAAAGCUAGAAUGAACAGUCAGUCAACUUGAUUUAGCAUCAAACCCCAAGGAGUAGGAAAGAGCUGCAAAGUUUUGUAAAAAAUUGAAACUAGACUGAAUAAAAAUAUAAAC
ensembl:lncRNA